rnacentral:rRNA from 1 species
AACGAACGCUGGCGGCAGGCCUAACACAUGCAAGUCGAGCGAGGUAGCAAUACCUAGCGGCGGACGGGUGAGUAACGCGUGGGAACGUGCCCCUUGGUACGGAAUAGCCCCGGGAAACUGGGAGUAAUACCGUAUGAGCUCUACGGAGGAAAGAUUUAUCGCCAAGGGUUCGGCCCGCGUUGGGUUAGGUAGUUGGUGGGCUAAUGGCCUACCAAGCCGACGAUCCAUAACUGGUUUGCGAGGAUGAGCAGCCACACUGGGGCUGAGACACGGCCAGACACCUAAGGGAGGCAGGGGUGGGGAAUCUUAGACAAGGUGCGCGAGCCUGAUCUAGCCAUGCCGCGUGAGCGCUGAAGGCCUUAGGGUUGUAAAGCUCUUUCAGCUGGGAAGAUAAUGACUGUACCCGCAGAAGAAGCCCCGGCUAACUCCGUGCCAGCCGCCGCAGUAA